rnacentral:rRNA from 1 species
UACGGGGGGGGCAAGCGUUGUUCGGAAUUACUGGGCGUAAAGGGCUCGUAGGCGGCCAACUAAGUCAGACGUGAAAUCCCCUCGGCUUAACCGGGGAACUGCCUCUGAUACUGGAUGGCUUGAGAUUGGGAGAGGGAUGCGGAAUUCCAGGUGUAGCGGUGAAAUGCGUAGAUAUCUGGAGGAACACCGGUGGCGAAGGCGGCAUCCUGGACCAACACUGACGCUGAGGAGCGAAAGCCAGGGGAGCAAACGGG